rnacentral:lncRNA from 1 species
CCCAACCCUCACUAAUAAACGAUACACCGUUCCUUUAAGAGAAUGGAUGCCCCCUCCCCCUCCCCCUCCCCCCUUUAAGAAACCCUAGUUGUCCCCCUAAUUCAUAUGUUUCUCUCAAAAAAGAAAAAAAAAACAUACUUGCACCCAUAAAACCAAAGACCUAGCCGCCACCCUCUCCUUCUUCACUCCUUCUAUCUGCCUAUACUCCUCACAUUUACACUCUCAUCUCACUCACUCUUUAUUCACUCAAGCACCUUUUUGGAGUGCAAAAUUAAUUUCCAAAUUUGAAAGAAUUCAAAAGGUCAUAAACUAAAACACAAAAUAGAAUUGGAAGGAUUAGUUCGAAUUUUGCUGGUAUUUGUUGUCGAUUUCUAUGGUUUUGCUGAAGAAACUUUGUUGUUGUUUGUUAUCUGCUGGGAGCUUGAAUUUCAUAUUUUAAUUUCAGACCUUUGCUUGGCCAUUUAGUGUUGUUUUACCGCAUUUAGGUAUGUAAAUAUUCAUUUGUUUUUCACUUUAAAUUUAUGAAUAAAGAUUGGAGUUUACUCAAGCCAUAUUCCUGAUUGAUUUCGUGGGUGUGUCACUGAAUACUAUUAUGAUUUCAUAUAUCUUAGUUUGUCGCUCACUUUGGCUUGUUUAACUGAAAAUACUCUCUGUUUAAGUGUAGUUUGGCUCGAUGUUUUAUUCUGCCUGAUUUUUCGUAAAUUCGUCACCGAAUUUGCCUUGUCAUUUCUAUGUUAGCUAUAGUUUUGGAUGAUUAUUCUAACUAACUAUUUGAGCUGAAAUUAUUUAUUGAUCAUUAGAUUUUAAUUGUAGGAUUUUGAAGCCAAAUGAUUGUGUUUUUUUCUUAUGAGCUGCAUGAAAAGAUAAGUGGUCUAUUUCUUACUUGCUUAACUCUAACAGACCAUGAAUGAAUGAAUUUUUUUUCUUCUGUUAGUAUUUUAUUAUUUAUGUGAAUUUGGCACAAAUGUUAUGUUGAGAAUGUUAUUGUGUGGUCUUCGUCCUAAUCCAUCCAGGUAAUUGUUUUUAUUGGAUUUCGGUGCCGGAAUUUCACAUUUUUGACCUCUGUGUUCACUAAAUUAUUUCAUAUCAAAGGAGUUUUGUAUACAGGUUCACAUUCUUUUCCUCUUUCUUUUACACUACUAAAACAUGAACAAAUGAAUUGAUGCUUGCUCAUAAGUUGUUUUGUGUCUUUAGAUAGUUCUGCAAUUAUUAGAAUUUUGUUUUAACUUAUUUAUUUCAUUUACAACUAGAUUAAGUAAGGUUUAGUUGAAUAAGUAUGAAGAUAUCGUUUGGGUAAUGAAAAAUAAUUAAGCGUGAUUUUCUUUAAGACCCAAACAAAAGGCAAAAAAGGUUACGAUGAUUUGGGUUUAGAAUAAUAUUAAGUUCGAAUACUAGAGUGAGUGAGAUGAGAGAGUGUGAAUGUAUGGGGUGUAGGUAGAUCGGAAGGAGUGAAAAAAGAGAGCAUGGCAACUAGGGUUUUGGUUUUUAGUGAGAGGGUCUGUUCUUUUUUCUUUUCGGAGAAGAAAGUGGGAAUUAGGGGGACGACUAGGAUUUCUCCAAAUGAGGGGAAUCCAUUCUCUUCAUAAUGGAAGGGAGGGAUCAUUUGUUAGUGAGGAUUGGGGAAAAGACGACGUAGUUUUGAUGUUAAACUACGUGGUUGGUGGCCUUAGAGGAAGGGUUGUUGGACCGGAUAUUUAGGAAGGAAUUUGGGGCGAGCUUGUGGAGUAAUUGGGCUGGUUUUAGCCUAGUUCAGAGAUAUGAAGCCGAAGCUCCCUUUUUUUAUUAGAUUUUACAAAAUUAACCAUUAUAGACUAAAAUUCUAAUUAAAUCCAAUUUGUAUGGUUAAACUAUUUAUGUAUUUUAGCAACUGAUUGACUAAUUACCUAAUUAAUUAAUUAACCUAAGAAUGUAUUUUUUGUGAUUUUUAGAUAUUUAACUCAUGCAUUUAACCAUGUUAUUAAUCUUAUAUUCAAUUAGAAUGCAAUGAAUGAAAUCAAAAGAAUUUUUGAUUUUAUGAUUUAAAAUACCCCCUAAAAAUUCAAUUAAUCAAAAAAUGCAGACAAACAAACAAGAAAAAAUCUUAAGAAUUUCUACAAAAAUAGAAAUAAUUGAAAGAAUCUAUUUUUUUGAGUCUUUUAGGAAUGAUUUAUAUUUAGAGCAAGAGUUACAUGCUUACAAGUAAUAAAGUGUUUUAUGCUGAGGGUGGGGUAUUGCUGCACUAGAAAAAGUUUGUGCAUGAUUUUCUCAAAGAGUUUCACUCCUAUGAUUUAUCUUUAGUGGUAUCCCCUUUUGAGAUGUAUGAACAUGUGAUUUUUGCCUUAUACAAAAUACUCGUUUAAAAUCCCCAAAAAAUAGGUUUUCUGUUAAUUAUUUGCUACUUUAGGAAUUUUUGUACAAUUUUCUUAAUUAUUUGCAUUAAUUUGUGCAUGUUUAAUUUUUAGUUAAAUUAUAAAAAAAUAUUAAAAUAUUAUGCAUUGCAUUUAUAAUUUUUUUUAUUUUUUAAAAUUAAUAAGUAAUUAUUUAUUUUAUGAAAAUUUGAAAAUCACAAAAAUAGCUCAUUUUUACAUUUUUGUUCUUUAAUUUUUAGUUUAUUGAUUUUUACUCUUUUAAUUUAGAAUUAAUUGAUAUUUAUAAUUUUUAUAAUUAGUUAAUUAGUUUAACUUUAUAUUUUAGAUAAUUUAGGAUUUCUAAUUAUUAAUAUUUUUAAUUAAAAAAAGGAAAAGAAAAAGAAAAUAAAGAAAAUUUGAAAAAGAGUGUUAUUGGGUUAAUUUCACAACCAAGUUUGGACCAAACCAUCCCAAUUCUUGUCCACAAUCCAGGCCCAAAGCUAAAUAUACUCGACCCAGCUCACACAGUUUUCAAACGAUGUCGUUUUAUGGGGAUUUGAUCACAGUCGUUGGAUUUUAUCAAUCCAACGGCCCGGAGCUAAUUGAUUCUGUGAGCACAUGAUUUUUGCCUCGCUUGACAUGUUCCAAUAAAAUUCAUUAAAUUAGGAUUUUUCUUUUAUUAUUUGAAUUGUUUUUGGAAUUAAUUGUGUGAUUUUAUAUUUAUUUGUAUUUUUCCUUUAUUAUUUGAAUUUUUAGGAUUCAUUUGCAUGAUUUUGUGUUUGUUUGAAUUAAUUACAUAAUUUUAUGCUUAUUUGCAUGUUGCACUUUUUAAUUUGCAUAAUUCAUAGAAAUAUAAAAUGGAAUGGUAGCAUUUAGGAAUUAAUUUUUGCGUGUGUUUACGUUAUUAAUUAGUUAAUAUUGAAAAUAAAGAAAAAUAACAAAAUUAGUUAAUUUUCUUUGAAAUCUAGAGUUUAGGAGUUUUCUUAGUUUAUUUCAUGUUAAAAUAUGUUUUGGGUUAUUUUUAUUUUGCUACUAUAAAUCUGAGAAAAAAUUUCUAAUACAAAAAUAUACAAAAAAAAAAGAGGAAUAGUUGAUUGUAUAUAUAUUGGCUUAUUGAAAUACCAGUUUCGGGCCAAUUUUGGCAACAAAUCUGGCCCAAAAAAUUACCAAACCCACUAGACAUAGACCCAAACCCAAUACCCUGCCCGGUUCAAAAGCCAUGGGCACACAACGACGUAGUUUGCGCCGAGCAAUCUGAGCCAUUGAUCAGUCUUGAUCAAACGGUCAAGAUGCAAGGUUGGGUACCCUAUAUAAUUGUCACACACCCCCUACUAGUUAAUCCUCGUACCAUGUCCAGACUUACCCUAAAAUUAGCCAGUGUAACACUGGCUCACCACUGCCUUGCCUCCACCUUCCCUCUAUCGUCCGCCGCCGCCGGCGUAACUUCGAUGGACCCCAAAAUAACACCACACCUUCUCAUCACUCCCCUCUUUCCAACCCCUCCAUUGGCCACCCUUGAAUAUAGCCCCAUCUUGUCGAAUAUCUGUUUGAAAUUUGGUAGCUCCGCCGUCCGCGACGGCGAUCGGUUGCAAAUACACCAAGAUUUACACCACAGAUUCCUCACCCCACCCUCACCAUAAAUCUGAAACAACCGUCCUUCGAAUUAUGCCACAGCUCCUUGAAUUUUAGUUUGAAUCAUCCAGUAAAAAUACGAUCAUUCCCAAAAUCCACCAAAUGAACACUAUGCACUUUCCUCACACCCCUUAUCUUGAAUCCACAACUCUCAGUCCUCGAAUACUUCCCGUUUAGGUCAAAUUUUAAAUCAAAAGUUGGACCCAGAACCCUAGUUGUCUAAGCUUUGGGAUAUCCUUGGAUUUGGGCUUCCAUAGCCCUUAGUCUUGUGUUUUCCGGUGGAAAAAACAUGAUUAAGGUCGGUUUGACACCAAAAAUGCCGAGAAAUUCGCCACUGUUUGGGCCUGAAUUAGAGUUAGAGGUAUUUCGCUUUUACAUUUUAUUUUGCUUUUAUUUACGAUUCCUACCUUCAUUUUGUUGUGACCUUUGUGAUUAGUUUAGGGUCUUGUUUCAAUUUUCUGAUUUUUUUUAGAUUUAUUAGUAAUUCAAAUUGUCCAAUUUGAUUCCAUGUUCACCCGCUACCUUACAUUUUGAGUUUUGUUCGUUUCCUCUGCGUAAUUAGCUUCAAUUUCCUUUAUUGAUUAGUGAAAUUUUAGUUCUAUGCUACAUUCAAGACUCUAUUGAGUUUAGAUUUAAUUUGUAUAGCUAGAUUAAUUAGUUUUAAUUUUGGUUAUAAAUGGGAAGUUUCUAGCUCAUAACUAGUUAGCCAUAGUUAGUUGGACUAGGGUAAAGGGAAGCUGAAAAUGUAAGUAGGUCGUUUAAGUAAUUCUGGAAAGGGUAAGGGAUAGUAUGAGCAAUUCAGCAUGAAAGAACCUGUAGUAACUAGAAUGGAAACCCCUGGAAGCUUCUAGAAUAUGGGUCAAAUUGAAAUUCAGACCUUUUAUUUGUUAUAACUUGGAUAGCAAACUAAGUAUCUGAGGACUAGUGGUAUAAAACUUAAAAACAAAAGGGACCAAGCUGAAAUAAAGGACUUAAAGGUUUACCUAAUGGUUGGCCAAUAUGGAGGUAUUAGUCUUGCCUUUCAAGGCAAGAAAAAAGAUAGGCUAAAAAUACAGAAAAACACAUAUAAAAGAAAAAAUAUACUGCUACAUGGAGUUAAAAAUCUGAGAGUACAAAGACAUUGGAAGCUAAGAAAAUACAUAAAGAUAUUUUAGGGGGUCGAGAAUACAGGAUCAAGUGGCUACAUUACUGGGUUUCAUCUAAAUUCUGGAAAAAAUCAUAAAACAAAAUGACAUUGUUCCAUUAGGUUGCCUGGAUCACUGCAUUUUUCAAAUUACUGAAGCGCAGUUGGGUUCUUCGAAUGUUUAAGUGUGGUUAAAACCUUGUUUUUCAAAAGCAUGCUUUGAAACUGUGCCAUACCCUAUUCAACUGGAACUUUGUCCCUUUGGUUUCAUAGCACUUUUCCUUUGGUUUGAGUUUGGUCCACUGUUGUUGUUUUGGCUGUUAUGUCUCAUUGCUAAUGUCACCCACCUCUCACUUUUAAUUUCCAGGUACAAUCCAACUCUAUGAGUAUAAUCGAGAUGUAGCAUGAAGCAAGAAUUGAAAACAUGAAAUAAAUGAAAUUAUUAUGUAUAUUGUAUUUGGAUAUUUCAAUUUGAUGAUUUGAUUAGGAUGUUUAACCAUUACCUGACACGUUGAGAGUAUCUUCAUGUUCGAGUCUGUGCUAGUCAAUUACUUAGGUGUAUACUAGUUCAGUAUUUCUGGGAUUAACGAGAGUUCUCUAAUGAUUUGAUAUCUGAGCGUUUGAAUACUUGUUGUUAAUCAUGUAUUAAAUUGGAGCAUGAGUUGUGAGAUAGUCU